AAGCAAAUAUAAAAGAGAAUUAUUUACAACCACAAAGUACUUAUAUAUAAUUAGGAAAUUUACAACACAUAACCGUUACAGAGAACUAUCUCUGUGUUACUAUAUACAAUCUCAAGGUAUAUAGGUAAUGACUGAAGCUGCUGAAGGGAGUGCGGGAUGGCUUCAGCAGUUUUAAAGAUAUCCAUCAAGUG